AUACUCUGGUUUCUCUUCAGAUCGUAUAAAUCUUUCGCCUUUUACUAAAGAUUUCCGUGGAGAGGAACAAUUCUGAGUCUAAACCCAAUUUUUUGAGGCCUUGCUUUUUUUUUAGCAGGGCU
rnacentral:snRNA from 1 species